rnacentral:rRNA from 1 species
GACGAACGCUGGCGGCGUGCCUAAUACAUGCAAGUCGAACGCAGGGGGGACGGGUGAGUAACACGUGGGUAACCUCCCAUCAGAGGGGAUAACACUUGGAAACAGGUGCUAAACCGAUAUUGAUGUAUGGACCCGCGGUGCAUUAGCUAGUUGCUGAGGUAACGGCUCACCAAGGCCACGCUCCAUAGCCGGCCUGAGAGGUGGAUCGGCCACACUGGGACUGGGACACGGCCCAGACUCCUACGGGAGGCAGCAGUAGGGAAUCUUCGGCAAUGGACGAAAGUCUGACCGAGCAACGCCGCGUGAGUGAAGAAGGUCUUCGGAUCGUAAAACUCUGUUGUGAGAGAAGCGGUAGUUAACGAGAAAGCCACGGCUAACUACGUGCCAGCAGCCGCGGUAAUAC